GGACAAUUUAACAUCUCUAGAUUAUUAUGAAUUUGUUUGCAGGUUAGAAUAUGUGUUUUUUUAAUGUUUUUAUACCAUCUACUGGUUCUCUUUAUGAAUCUUUCUUUAAGCUAAGCAGUUCAAUAGGAAGAUCAAUCAGUUAGCGCCAAGUUCGCUUGUCUAGCUAGUUAGUCACAUAAAUAAUAAUGUCUCCGCGCUGUCCGGCUACAUGUUUCA
rnacentral:lncRNA from 1 species